GCUCGAGUGGCGAACGGGUGAGUAACACGUGAGUAACCUGCCCUUGACUUUGGGAUAACUUCAGGAAACUGGGGCUAAUACCGGAUAGGAGCUCCUGCUGCAUGGUGGGGGUUGGAAAGUUUCGGCGGUUGGGGAUGGACUCGCGGCUUAUCAGCUUGUUGGUGGGGUAGUGGCUUACCAAGGCUUUGACGGGUAGCCGACCUGAGAGGGUGACCGGCCACAUUGGGACUGAGAUACGGCCCAG
rnacentral:rRNA from 1 species